GGCUACUAACGCUCACUUCAAAAUCAAGCGGCUUUUAUGGUUACUAGUGCCCCUCCGACAGCAAGCGACAAAAAUCUCUACGGCUACUAACGUCACUUCAAAAUCAAGCAGCUUUUACGGUUACUAGUGCCCCUCCGACAGCAAGCGACAAAAAUCUCUACGGCUACUAACGUCACUUUAAAAUCAAGCGGCUUUUAUGGUUACUAGUGCUCC
rnacentral:lncRNA from 1 species